UUUUCGCUGGUUUUUUUCGUCCCCUCCCCCACCCCACCCCAUCCCACCGGUUUAGUUUCGGGUCACCUAUCACAUAAAAAAAAUUUAAACAUAUCAGAACUUUUCAUGUUGGCGCAAAUUAUUUGGUAAUGUCUUUAUGUGAAAAAAUCAAUCACAAUCAAUCUCUGAAGACCAAACCUAAGCCUACCUUAAAUCGCUCAAUCAUAUUAAUUAGGAACAAAUGACCGAUUUUAAAAAAAUUAAUGUGUCGCCGCUCUCUGGAUCAAACUCCUCUUUCUAUUGACGCCGCGUGUUUUCUCUCUUCCUCCAACCUGGCUAGGGUUCCCAGCCCCAUCUUCUCCGCCGCCGCCAUGUAUUCCUCUCCGACCUCGCCUAGAGCAGCCAGCAGGAUGCCACCGCCGUGGCCGCCUCUCUCCCUUCUCUUCUCUUUUUCCCUACCUUUCUUUCUCCUCUAAAUUGCGUGCAGGUCCUCUCCGCAGGUGCUGCCAUGGCCCGUCAUGGAGCUCGCCCCCGUGGGAUGCAUGCCCCUCCAACGACGCCCUGUCCAGGCACUACGAGCGCACUGGACGGCAGGAAGGGCUGCGUCAAGGAGCGACGCAUUGCUGUAAGCUUGUAACACACCAUUAUUGCUACUCCCACCUCGGUGGUCUAUUUCAUGGGUUGCAGAUAGGAUGUGAUAUUUUGCAGCGUGGACAUCGCCUAGCGAUCAGAUUUGAUGUUGAGAAAGACCCGGCAGGAAGAUCUCAUCCUGGAACCCAGGUGUGCUUGAUUUGAUAUUGAGAAUUCUACUUGAUAGGUAUGUACAUGGAUAGCGUACGGUGUAUCCAAAGCUUUGCUUAACCUGAAAUUUGUUAAAACUAAUCUCUGGUUUAGUAGAAGCCCACAGCGGUUGCAAUACUAGAGUUAUAUCUAUUGUGGGCAACAUUGAAAAAUUGCAUAUAUCUAAUCAUCGUAUAUGUUAUCACCUCUGAAACUGUGCAACAUUACUACAAGAUAAAUCCACGAAGCAGUGCAAUACAAUUCAAAGAAUUUUUAAGCCUUUUUUGAGCAAUUAGUCUCCACCUUUCAUGGACGGAACGUGCUUUUGAUCUUCUGAUUAGUUCCUCCAGAUUAGGUUUUGUUCUGCUGGUCAAAGGUUUGUACACGACUGACUUAGAUUUGUUUUUCUUCAUGCGCAUUGUUAGAGUAAUAUCCAUGCACUAAUUUUUUUUUGCAUUCUGAAUUUCCUUCAUGCAGCAGUGUACAUGUUUCUUAUGAUGCACGUGUGCGUUUACCUUGUCAAGAAGCUUCGCGUGAAUGUCAAUGCCGAUGAAGACAAAUGUUCUCUGCUUCGAUCCCUUCUUUUGAUUUCGCAAAAUGCAAAACACUAGGGUGUCUACAAAUUUAGAUCGUUGGUUCACCAUCAGAAGCUUCGUGUGAACGUCAAUGUCGACGAUGACAAAGGUGCUCUGUUUCGCUCUCUUCUUCCGAUUUUGCAAAAUGCAAAACACCAGGGUGUCUAGAAAUUGAGAUCGUUGGUUCACCAGAAACACAAUCAAUAUUAUAAAAUAGAUUGCAUGGAUGCUUUAUUUGUGUGUUCGAUAUAGUCUAAUUUAAUAUACCAUCGAUGAUGAUAUUGAAUCUGCAACUCCGCCUAUGUCUUCUAGGCAUAGCCGGUCCCAAGCCCGGGUAAAGGAGGAGGGUUGUGAUAGGCUUGGCGAGCCAACGUAAAAACUAGCCAGUCCCAUAGGUAUGAAACCCAUUUGAGCGAGAAUAGUACUAGGAUGGGUGACCUCCUAGGAAGUCCUCGUGAAAGGGUUUCAUAUCUAAGGGUUGUGAUAGGCUUGGCGAGCCAACGUAAAAACUAGCCAGUCUUUUGGGUAUGUAACCCAUUUGGGCGAGAGUAGUACUAGGAUGGGUGACCUCCUGGGAAGUCCUCGUGAAAGGGUUUCAUAUCUAGCCUACCCCAACUUGUUUGGGAUAAAAGGCUUCGUAAGUAAGUGAUGAUAUUGAAUCUGCAAAGAAAAUAUAUACUCAUUUUCUAAUUGCAUCUUUUAAUCAGGAGCCCAGGACCUACCUUUAGGCAGGAAAGAGGGACAAUCUUCAGUAAAGUACAAUUUUCAUGUCUUCUUAUAGCAUUUGACUAAUGUGUUAUGGUAUCAUUCUUCUACUUUCACAGCUAUUACUGUGAACUAGAUCGUUGAUGGCGCGCGUUGCUGCGCCCGUCUAUUUUGGAUCUUAGUUGUUAGGUAUAUGAUGUAAUUUGUGUACACUUGUUUGCAAUGCUUAGCAUUGUUCUUUCUUAUAA